UUUCUUAGAAAUUGAGAUGUAUAUUUACUGAUUUUUGGCUAAGACUAAGUAUUAUUGAGCAUGGUGGUGCAUGUCUUUAAUCCCAGCACUCUGGAGACAGAGGAAGGCAGAUCUCUUGAGUUCAAGCUAUCCUGGUGUACAGAGUGAGUUCAGGACACCCAGAGCUACAUAGAGAAAACCCUGUCUUGAAAACCCAAACCAACAAAGAAGAAGAUCAAGUGUAAAUUGUUGGAAUGUUUUCCUUUUUUUUUUUUUUUUUUUUUUUAAUAGCUAGAAAUAGGUCUGUGUAGUGAGAUAAGAGCCUAAGGUUUUCUGAUCUGAAAACUCAAUAUUUAGGACUUUGGGGUAGAUGAUCUUUUAUUUUAAGUUUCUUUUCUUGUAGUCCGACCUGAUCUCAUUCCUGAGCUCUUGAGCACCUGAGCCCCUGGGAUUACAGGUGUGUGUACCUGGUCUGCAGAGCUCAGUUUUUAAAUGAAGCUUAGAAAACUUUCUGAUUCUUCUCAUGGCUUGAAUGUAUCAGAGAACUUUUUCUUUUCUUCUACUUUUUGUUGUUGUUCUUUUAGCUUUGUUUUUCAUUUUUUGGUGAUGUGACCGCGUACAGCCUUUGCUGGCUUCUAUGUAACACACGAUCUGGUAGCGGCUGCACUGCAUUGAAUGUCUUUUCUCAUGCCUCUGCUUCCCAAGUACUGGGAUUGUACCAUGUGCUCCAUACCCAACCAAGGAUUCUUUUCUGAUGCUAUUAGUUCAGCUUCUUGUUUUGUUUUGCUUUUUUUAUUUGUUUUUUUGGAAGCAGUUUCUCUGUGUAACCCUGGCUGGCCUUGAACUCAGAGAUCUGCCUCCUGGGAUUAAAGGCGUGUGCUACCACUGCUUUGCAGUCGAGCAUAUUUAUAUGUUCAGACUGUAGAGCUAUAGUAGUCAAGAGUCCUUUGAAAGUAUCUGUGUGAAGAAGGUAUCUAAUUUUAAAAAUUGAUAGAUAGAUAAACAUGAUAUAGCAUAUGUAUAUAUAUUUAUGAUGCAUAGUUUGUUGCUUUCUGUGGAUAUUUUAGUGUGCUAAUCAAGCUAUUUAAUACGUAUCAUUUCAUAUAAGUACUUUUUUUGGAAUAAAAACACGAAGAUUGGUUUUUUUUGUUAUUACCAGACAUUAAGCAUACUAUAAACGUUAGUAUGUAUCAUUUACAUUAAGCUUUUGAAUAGGCACAGUUUAUCUUUUGGUAUGUGUUUUUGAAGGCAAUAUUUUGUUUUAAUAUUUUGAGAAUAAAGAAAUGAAAAUAAGGAAAAAAUUAUGUAAAGAAGGAGCAGGUAGUCUUUCAUAAGGCAGCUUAGUGGCUCUAAGUAUUGGUGGGUGACAUCUUAGAUUCUUUGAUGAAGGGGUCUUUAUCAAAUUUCUAGUGGCAUGUUGCACAGAGAUGAAG
rnacentral:lncRNA from 1 species